AUCGGUUUGUGCUAUUAAGACGAGUUAACCUUGAAACCUAAAUACUUCUACUGAAUUUCGAUAAAGAGCGCAAUCAUGUGUUGUAAUAAACUUUUGUGCUAAACAAUAUAAAGCUAGUACAGAUGUUGGUGGCGUUCCGAGGGAAUCCUUGCACAUUUUAGAUAAUGACGGGUACCCACUUUCGUGUCUUCUCCACCAAUCAAGUAUAUCCUCAGAAUCUUCUGGCCUAGGCACAGUAUUUUUCAAUUUCAUACUUCCAAGAUUGUUGCUGACUGCAGGGCUCCCGUAAGUCUACUGGCGCCUGUGUGCAAAAAAGGAUUUUGGCGCCCCUUAAGGCACUUUGGAUCAUGUUCUUUAUUUAUUUUUUAAAGGUAGGUGCUUGAAAUAAAGCAUAAAACUGAUCUUUGGAAAUCAUAUUAUGUAUUUGUAGACAUAAAAUAUCAAAAUGAAAUAA